rnacentral:rRNA from 1 species
AACGAACGCUGGCGGCAUGCCUAACACAUGCAAGUCGAACGAAGUCUUCGGACUUAGUGGCGCACGGGUGCGUAACGCGUGGGAAUCUGCCCUUGGGUACGGAAUAACUCAGAGAAAUUUGUGCUAAUACCGUAUAAUGUCGUAAGACCAAAGAUUUAUCGCCCAAGGAUGAGCCCGCGUAAGAUUAGCUAGUUGGUGAGGUAAAAGCUCACCAAGGCGACGAUCUUUAGCUGGUCUGAGAGGAUGAUCAGCCACACUGGGACUGAGACACGGCCCAGACUCCUACGGGAGGCAGCAGUGGGGAAUAUUGGACAAUGGGCGAAAGCCUGAUCCAGCAAUGCCGCGUGAGUGAUGAAGGCCUUAGGGUUGUAAAGCUCUUUUACCCGGGAUGAUAAUGACAGUACCGGGAGAAUAAGCUCCGGCUAACUCCGUGCCAGCAGCCGCAGUAACAC